rnacentral:rRNA from 1 species
AGCGGCGGACGGGUGAGUAAUGCUUAGGAAUUUGCCCAGUCGAGGGGGACAACAGUUGGAAACGACUGCUAAUACCGCAUACGCCCUACGGGGGAAAGCAGGGGCUCUUCGGACCUUGCGCGAUUGGAUAAGCCUAAGUGAGAUUAGCUAGUUGGUGAGGUAAUGGCUCACCAAGGCGACGAUCUCUAGCUGGUUUGAGAGGAUGAUCAGCCACACUGGGACUGAGACACGGCCCAGACUCCUACGGGAGGCAGCAGUGGGGAAUAUUGCACAAUGGGCGAAAGCCUGAUGCAGCCAUGCCGCGUGUGUGAAGAAGGCCUUCGGGUUGUAAAGCACUUUCAGCGAGGAGGAAAGGUUGACGGUUAAUACCCGUCAGCUGUGACGUUACUCGCAGAAGAAGCACCGACUAACUCCGUGCCAGCAGCCGCGGUAAUACGGAGGGUGCGAGCGUUAAUCGGAAUUACUGGGCGUAAAGCGCAUGCAGGCGGCCAAGUCAGUCAGAUGUGAAAGCCCCGGGCUUAACCUGGGAAUUGCAUUUGAUACUGCUUGG